AAGCAUAUAUAGGGGGAGCACCUUGCUGGGGCAUGGCUGGAGCUGGUUGGGGGUCGCCCAGACACUCCCCAACAGGCUGCUCCCCCCAAAUCUGCCCCA
rnacentral:pre_miRNA from 1 species